GACGAACGCUGGCGGCGUGCUUAACACAUGCAAGUCGAACGGAAAGGCCCUGCUUUUGUGGGGUGCUCGAGUGGCGAACGGGUGAGUAACACGUGAGUAACCUGCCCUUGACUUUGGGAUAACUUCAGGAAACUGGGGCUAAUACCGGAUAGGAGCUCCUGCUGCAUGGUGGGGGUUGGAAAGUUUCGGCGGUUGGGGAUGGACUCGCGGCUUAUCAGCUUGUUGGUGGGGUAGUUGCUUACCAAGGCUUUGACGGGUAGCCGGCCUGAGAGGGUGACCGGCCACAUUGGGACUGAGAUACGGCCCAGACUCCUACGGGAGGCAGCAGUGGGGAAUAUUGCACAAUGGGCGGAAGCCUGAUGCAGCAACGCCGCGUGCGGGAUGAAGGCCUUCGGGUUGUAAACCGCUUUCGCCUGUGACGAAGCGUGAGUGACGGUAAUGGGUAAAGAAGCACCGGCUAACUACGUG
rnacentral:rRNA from 1 species